rnacentral:tRNA from 1 species
GGCUCUGUGGCGCAAUGGAUAGCGCGUUGGACUUCUAGUCAAACAUUUGAGAUGUUAUUCAAAGGUUGUGGGUUCGAGUCCCACCAGAGUCG